GACGAACGCUGACGGUGUGCUUUAGACAUGCAAGUCGAACGAGAAAGCCCUUCGGGGUUAGUAAAGUGGCGAACGGGUGAGUAACACGUGGGCAAUCUGCCCCUCGCAGGGGGACAACCGGAGGAAACCCCGGCUAAUACCCCGUAAGUUCAAAGGGAGGCAUCUCUCUUCGAAGAAAGGUAGCUUCGGCCAUCCGGCGAGGGAUGAGCCCGCGGUGCAUUAGCUAGUUGGUGGGGUAACGGCCUACCAAGGCGACGAUGCAUAGCUGGUCUGAGAGGAUGAUCAGCCACACUGGGACUGAGACACGGCCCAGACUCCGUACGGGAGGCAGCAGUCGGGAAUCUUGCGCAAUGGGCGAAAGCCUGACGCAGCAACACCGUGUGUGUGAGG
rnacentral:rRNA from 1 species